AUUGAACGCUGGCGGCAGGCCUAACACAUGCAAGUCGAGCGAGCGGCGGACGGGUGAGUAAUGUCUGGGAAACUGCCUGAUGGAGGGGGAUAACUACUGGAAACGGUAGCUAAUACCGCAUACCAUCAGAUGUGCCCAGAUGGGAGUAGCUAGUAGGUCGGGUAAUGGCUCACCUAGGCGACGAUCCCUAGCUGGUCUGAGAGGAUGACCAGCCAACCGGGAACUGAGGCACGGGCCAGACUGCGACGGGAGGCAGCAGUAGGGAAAAUGGCACAAUGGGCGCAAGCCUGAUGCAGCCAUGCCGAGUGUAUGAUGAAGGCCUUCGGGUUGUAAAGUACUUUCAGCGGGGAGGCGUUACCCGCAGAAGAAGCACCGGCUAACUCCGUGCCAGCAGCCGCGUAAUAC
rnacentral:rRNA from 1 species